rnacentral:rRNA from 1 species
UAUACUGUGAAACUGCGAAUGGCUCAUUAAAUCAGUUAUCGUUUAUUUGAUAGUGCCCUUUACUACUUGGAUAACCGUGGUAAUUCUAGAGCUAAUACAUGCAUAAAACCCCGACUUCGGAAGGGGUGUAUUUAUUAGAUAAAAAACCAAUGCCCUCCGGGGCUGCUUGGUGAUUCAUAAUAACGCAACGAAUCGCAUGGCCUUGCGCCGGCGAUGGUUCAUUCAAAUUUCUGCCCUAUCAACUUUCGAUUGUAGUUUAGUGGACUACAAUGGUUUCAACGGGUAACGGGGAAUUAGGGUUCGACUCCGGAGAGGGAGCCUGAGAAACGGCUACCACAUCCAAGGAAGGCAGCAGGCGCGCAAAUUACCCAAUCCCGACACGGGGAGGUAGUGACAAUAAAUACUGAUACAGGGCUCUUUUGGGUCUUGUAAUUGGAAUGAGUACAAUUUAAAUCCCUUAACGAGGAACAAUUGGAGGGCAAGUCUGGUGCCAGCAGCCGCGGUAAUUCCAGCUCCAAUAGCGUAUAUUAAAGUUGUUGCAGUUAAAAAGCUCGUAGUUGAACCUUGGGCCUGGCUGACCGGUCCGCCUCACCGCGUGCACUGGUUCGGCCGGGCCUUUCCUUCUGCGGAACGGCAUGCCCUUCACUGGGUGUGUUCGGGAAGCAGGACUUUUACUUUGAAAAAAUUAGAGUGUUCAAAGCAGGCCUUUGCUCGAAUACAUUAGCAUGGAAUAAUAGAAUAGGACGGCGCUCCUAUUUUGUUGGUUUCUAGGAGAGCCGUAAUGAUUAAUAGGGACAGUUGGGGGCAUCCGUAUUCAGUUGUCAGAGGUGAAAUUCUUGGAUUUACUGAAGACGAACUACUGCGAAAGCAUUUGCCAAAGAUGUUUUCAUUAAUCAGUGAACGAAAGUUAGGGGAUCGAAGACGAUCAGAUACCGUCGUAGUCUUAACCAUAAACUAUGCCGACUAGGGAUCGGGCGAUGUUAUUGUAUUGACUCGCUCGGCACCUUUCGAGAAAUCAAAGUGUUUGGGUUCUGGGGA